AAUGAACGCUGGCGGCGUGUCUUAAGCAUGCAAGUCGUGCGGCAAGGGUAGCAAUACUCCUAGAGCGGCGGACUGGUGAGUAACGCGUGGGUGAUCUUCCCUGGGGUUGGGGAUAGCCAUCAGAAAGCGUGGGUAAUACCGAAUACGGUGUCGAGACUGUGGUCUUGUCAGGAAAGGAGCUUCUGCGCCUGCCGCGGAUGAGCCCACGGCCCAUUAGCUAGUUGGUGAGGUAACGGCCCACCAAGGCGAUGAGGGGUAGGCGGCCUGAGAGGGUGUACGCCCACACUGGGACUGAGAUACGGCCCAGACUCCUACGGGAGGCAGCAGCUAAGAAUAUUCCGCAAUGGACGAAAGUCUGACGGAGCGACGCCGCGUGGAUGACGAAGGCCGAAAGGUUGUAAGAUCCUUUUGUUGGGGAAGAAUAAGGCUGGGAGGGUAUCUCCGGCUGAUGACAUGAACCGACGAAUAAGUCCCGGCUAACUACGUGCCAGCAGCCGCAGUAA
rnacentral:rRNA from 1 species